UAAGACCUGCGCCUUUGGAGCGGCCGAUGUCUGAUUAGCUUGUUGGUAAGGUAAAAGCUUACCAAGGCUUCGAUCAGUAGCUGGUCUGAGAGGACGGCCAGCCACACUGGGACUGAGACACGGCCCAGACUCCUACGGGAGGCAGCAGUGGGGAAUUUUGGACAAUGGGGGCAACCCUGAUCCAGCCAUGCCGCGUGAGUGAAGAAGGCCUUCGGGUUGUAAAGCUCUUUCAGCCGGAACGAAACGGUUACGGUUAAUACCCGUGACUACUGACGGUACCGGAAGGAGAAGCACCGGCUAACUACGUGCCAGCAGCCGCGGUAAUACGUAGGGUGCAAGCGUUAAUCGGAAUUACUGGGCGUAAAGCGUGCGCAGGUGGUUUUGUAAGUCAGAUGUGAAAUCCCCGGGCUUAACCUGGGAACU
rnacentral:rRNA from 1 species